GGAGUGGGUUGCCAUGCUCUCCUCCAGGAGAUAUUCCCAACACAGGGACCAAGCCCAGGUCUCCUGAUUAUAGGCAAAUUCUUUACCAUCUGAGCCACCAAGGAAGUCCCUGCCCCAGUCUAUCAAACACCAUAUCCUAAGUUCUCACUUCCUAUUCUGCUCUAUCUCCCAAACUUCAUCCUAAGAUCUCAGGAACAAAGACUCCAUAGAGAAGCCACAGAAUCUGAAAAUAUUGAAAUGCCUAUGAAUAACAAUGAGUUGCAAUUCCCUGAGUAACAUGGGAGAACUUAAGAAAAAUACAAAACUUCAGCAAAAAGCUGUAUGCCUUCCAUUUUCAGAUACCUCUAUAUUACGUUUCCUUUGUUCAUGCUAUAUAAUAAGUGCCUACGAUUCUAAUGGAGCAAUGUAACUUUGGCAGUUCUAGAGCUUCAAUCAUACUCAACAUUAAAACAAGAUAAUGUUUUAAGCCUGCCAGAAUAUUAUUUUUGUGACCUUAUAUUUGGCAAGAAGAGGUUAAAUUAAUAUCUGGGGAACGGUCAUUGUAAACAUCAACUGAUACUGAGAACUUUGAACUCGCUAGUUUCUUUACAACAUAACUUGGUCUCAGAAAACGGUACCAAUGAAUGUUUUCUGGUAAACUCCAUGUACAUCAAAGCAAGUGAACUUGAUUCUAGAAGUCAUUUAGAUUAGUUUCGAGUUUAUAAUGGACUCUUAAGGAGAUCAUCCAUCUGAUUUCAGUUACUCUUUUCCCG
ensembl:lncRNA